rnacentral:rRNA from 1 species
UUCCGGUUGAUCCUGCCAGAGGUUACUGCUAUCGGGGUCCGACUAAGCCAUGCGAGUCGAGAGGGUAAAGCCCUCGGCGUAAUGCUCAGUAACACGCGGAUAACCUGCCCUUGGGUCCGGGAUAACCCCGGGAAACUGGGACUAAUACCGGAUAGAUCAAAGACACUGGAAUGUUCUCUGGUCCAAAACUCCGGUGCCCAAGGAUGGGUCUGCGGCCUAUCAGGUUGUAGUGGGUGUAACGUACCUACUAGCCGACGACGGGUAAGGGUUGUGAGAGCAAGAUCCCUGAGAUGGAUUCUGAGACAUGAAUCCAGGCCCUACGGGGUGCAGCAGGCGCGAAACCUUUACACUGCGGGAAACCGCGAUAAGGGGACCCCGAGUGCCAGCACCUAGUGCUGGCUGUCCAGCUGUCCAAAUAACAGUUGUUAGCAAGGGCCGGGCAAGACCGGUGCCAGCCGCCGCGGUAACACCGGCGGCCCGAGUGGUAGCCGCUAUUAUUGGGUUUAAAGGGCCCGUAGCCGGCCUAUUAAGUCUCUUGGGAAAUCUGGCGGCUUAAUCGUCAGGCGUCCAAGAGAUACUGGUAGGCUUGGGACCGGGAGAGGUGGGAGGUACUCCAGGGGUAGGGGUGAAAUCUCGUAAUCCUUGGGGGACCACCGAUGGCGAAGGCAUCCCACCAGAACGGGUCCGACGGUGAGGGACGAAAGCUGGGGGCACGAACCGGAUUAGAUACCCGGGUAGUCCCAGCUGUAAACGAUGCUCGCUAGGUGUCAGGUGCGGUGCGACCGCAUCUGGUGCCGCAGUGAAAACUUGAAGCGAGUCACCUGGGAAGUACGGUCGCAAGGCUGAAACUUAAAGGAAUUGGCGGGGGAGCACUACAACGGGUGGAGCCUGCGGUUCAAUUGGAUUCAACGCCGGA